GCUUAACACAUGCAAGUCGAGCGAGAAUCGUUUAUUGAAGGCUUCGGCUGGAAAUAGAUGAGGAAAGCGGCGAACGGGUGAGUAACGCGUGGGCAACCUGGCCUUAAGAAAAGGAUAGCCCCCGGAAACGGGGAGUAAUACUUAUGAGAAUGAGAGAGGGCAUCCUACUUUCAUUCAAAGCGCAAGCGCUUAAGGAUGGGCCCGCGUAUCAUUAGCUAGUUGGUGAGAUAACAGCCCACCAAGGCAACGAUGAUUAGCCGGUCUGAGAGGGCGAACGGCCACAUUGGUACUGAGAGACGGUCCAAACUCCUACGGGAGGCAGCAGUGGGGAAUAUUGCGCAAUGGAGAAGAACUCUGACGCAGCAAUACCGCGUGGGCGAAGAAGGUCUUCGGAUCGUAAAGCUCUGUUAUCAGGGAAGAAGAAAAUGACGGUACCUGAUGGGCAAGUCCCGGCUAACUACGUGCCAGCAGCCGCCGCCG
rnacentral:rRNA from 1 species